CCUACGGGAGGCAGCAGUGAGGAAUAUUGGUCAAUGGGCGCAAGCCUGAACCAGCCAUCCCGCGUGAAGGAAGAAGGCGCUAUGCGUUGUAAACUUCUUUUCCAGGGAAAUAAAAUUUCGUACGUGUACGGAACUGAAGGUACCCUGGGAAUAAGCAUCGGCUAACUCCGUGCCAGCAGCCGCGGUAAUA
rnacentral:rRNA from 1 species